AUUUUCUCGGUGUUAGGCACAAGAAGAUUUGAGCUUCUUAGAGGUACUACAGUUACCAGAAAAUA
rnacentral:tRNA from 1 species